rnacentral:tRNA from 1 species
CGGGUAGCUCAGCUGGAUAGAGCAUUUGCCUUCUAAGCAAAUGGCCAUGGGUUCGAAUCCCAUCCC